rnacentral:rRNA from 1 species
UACGGGGGGUGCGAGCGUUGUCCGGAAUCACUGGGCGUAAAGGGCGCGUAGGUGGUCUGAUAAGGGUGUGGUGAAAGUCCGGGGCUCAACCCCGGAUCUGCCGUGCCGACUGUCAGACUCGAGGACUGUAGAGGCAGGCGGAAUUCCGGGUGUAGCGGUGGAAUGCGUAGAGAUCGGGAGGAACACCAGUGGCGAAGGCGGCCUUCUGGACCAAUACUGACGCUCAUGCACGAAAGCGUGGGGAGCAAACAGG